CACAGAGGUCUCUGAGACUGUUCUCAAUUCUUUUCAUUCUUUUUUCUUUAUUCUGGCAGGCCGAUUCUUAACCACUGUGCCACCAGGGAAGUCCAGGAUUUUGGAAUCUUGAAAUUUAGAGUUAUUUCCCCUAAUUCCUAGCCCUAAAGAACAUGUAAUAAAAUGUUUCUUAAUUUCAUCAUCCAGUGCUAACUGCUGUUAACAUUUUAGUGUAUGUUCUUUCAGCUCAUGCAUGUGGGCAUGUGCUUGCAUACACAGACACACACACGCACAUUUUAAUGAGAUCAUAUUAUUUAUUCUGCUUUGUAGCUUCUCUUUUUCGUUUAGAAAUAUAUUAUGGACUUUUUCCUAUGUUAAUAAACUUUUCUACCUCAUCAGGUUUAAUACAGAGUUUUAAAAAUAAUGUUUUUAGGAUUGUACUAUGAUUAGCUUAAUAUCUCAGAGUCUUUUUAUAUGUAGGGUUUUAAAAAAUCUUUAUUUUAGAUACAUUUUUAAAUGUUGACCUUAGUUUUUAAAAAUGUUUUCUAUAUUUUAAGACACAUUAGAAAAUAAACUAAUUAUCUUCUGCAUCUUGCAUUUCAUUAUAUUUUGGACCAACGCACACUUUGAGAACCAUGGAGAAUAUCCAUCUCCCUCUUUUAGAAGAGGCCAAGCAUUCCUAUAUAGAUGAUACUUUUUAAAGACCCUAGAAAAAAUCAAUAGGACAAUCAGUAAUUUUUUUUCUUCCUUAGGAAAAAAAAGUGUUUCCACCCCAUUCCAUUGCCAAGAAGAGCCUUGUGACUUAGAUUAAUCUGCCUCCCUUUCUGUGAUGUUUAGUCCACUGGUAAAACUCCCAGAGUCAACUUCAAAGAAAGUUGAGAUCCAUACCUAUUUUGCUGUCUGUUUCUGAGUUUCUUCACCCCUUGUUUCGGAGUUUUCCAAUCUGUUACUAUAGAACUCAGUCCUGUCCCUUUUGUUGACAGGUUGCCAGGAUACAUCCUGGCAACAAAGGCUGGGGUUCCUGUUCCAGGCAGCCAGCCUCACAUACUACAUGAACUCUUGCAAGAGGGGAUGUGAAUCGUGGAGCUCCCAGCUAGUCUGCUCCUGUUUCCACCAGCUCCCUCACUGAGGGGUUCAGCAGGCCAUGACAAAAGCCAAAAUAGAAAGAUGAAGAAAAAAUGAUACAAGAUCUUGGAGGCAUCUGAGGUUUCAUGGGGACUUUCCAGCAUUCCAGACUGCUGCCUUGCAAUGAAGCUCUGAGUCACUGUCUUUGGGUCUAAGGUACUGGCUACAAUGUGGAACCCCAGAACAGCCAACCUGACUAACCUUCUCUCUAAGCAGAAGCCCAAAAUAUGUCUGGCCUGAAAUCAGAGCAAGCACUAGAGAAAGACUUCUUUGUUAAUGGAAAGAGGAAAGGAGAAAACGGUUUCCAACACGUUGCAACAGUCUUUCCACCAUUCUAAAGGGCCUACCUUCCUUAUAAACCAAGCUGUUCUAUCUAGUGCAUCCCUUUCUAGCUUUUUGCCAGAAAUUGAGCUUGUCAAUCCUGGUGAAAAAAUAAAAACGGACCCUCAGAAAAAUAGACCUGGAACUGUAAUACUCCUAAAACGGUCCAGUAGGAGGAUUAUGUCGGCAAGUCAGCCCAGCCCCCCUGUGAUCCCAUCCCGCAGGCCCGGGUUCCAGGUGUGCCAUAUCUGUGGCCGAGAAUUUGGGUCCCAAUCGCUUGGCAUUCACGAGCCCCAGUGCUUGGAGAAGUGGCGUACUGAAAACAGCAAGUUGCCCAAGCACCUGAGGAGGCCAGAACCUUCCAAACCACUGCCUCUCAGUGGAAGUGGAUCCUACAAUCUUCAGGCAGCAUUCCAGGGUUCCCAGGCUCAGCUGCUGCCCUGUGAAUCCUGUGGUCGCAAGUUCUUGCCAGAUCGGCUUCUUGUUCAUCAGAGAAGCUGCAGGCCGAAGGGUGAGGGGCCCAGGGCACCAAACCCCAACAGUUCUGAUAAUCUUGCUGCUCUCAAGAAAGCUUCUGGUGGCAUCCCAACCCGACCAAGGGCUCUCAUCUGCUACGUCUGUGGUAGGGAAUUUGGCACUCUGUCCCUUCCUAUACAUCAGCCCAAAUGCCUGGAAAAGUGGAAAAUAGAAAAUGACCGGCUCCCUAGCGAGUUCUGCCAGCCACUACCGCGGAAGCCUCAGCCCCUUCCAACUGGACAGUCCAACCAAGAGGGGCCGAGUCAAGCUCAGCUCGUACCCUGCCCAAAUUGUAGCCGGACCUUUGCCCCUGACAGCUUUCUGGUGCACCAGAGAAGUUGUACAGCUCAACCUAGCAGGCCAAAAGUUCAAGAUUUGACAUUAUGGAGUAAAGGUGGCCUCAAAGAGUCCACUAAUUCCAAGCAGCAAAGGAGCAUGGCAGUACCCACUGUGACUGAUAAGCCAACAAUGAUAAGGCAUCCACCAACAGUUGUUUGCUACAUUUGUGGUCGUGAAUAUGGAACAAAAUCAAUUCUCAUCCAUGAGCCACAAUGUCUGAAAAAAUGGCAUAAUGAAAACAACUUGUUGCCUAAAGAGCUAAGGAGACCAGAACCGAAAAAGCCAGAAGUCGGGACCAUUACUGGGAACAGCUUGAGGAAUGUCAAGGUGCCGACCGUGGGACUUCCACUUCUGGCUCCAGCUCCAGCUCCAUCCGAGCUGGCCUGGAAACGUUACAGGGGAUCAAAUCUGAAGCAAGUUCAGUCACAAUGACAUCAAUCCAAGGGCUCCUAUCUUUCAUCAAGGCAAGUCACUGAAGUCUCACCAUUAAUAGGACAGAGCUCACCUGCUCUCUGCCGACUGCCCUCCCCCCAAUUUGUUCACAUCUGUGCAGAUUUUUUACUCUAAAAAGGAAAAUGAUUUUUUUAACAAUGGUUGGCACAUCCAUAGCUUUGAAUCUGAAUCUUGUAAUGGUUCCCAUAGAUAGUCUCCUAGGUGAUGAAGAGCAGAUACUAGAUGAAGGUACUUGGAGCUCUUAUACUGGCUCAGGUAGGUAUCGGCUUGGGAUGCGAUGUUAUUAGAGGCAUCGGCAACAAUACAAUUCCCUCUCUGCUCUGGCAACUGGUGCUGCACAAUCUUUUAUUGAAUUCCCCUUUAGUUGAGGUUAUGGGAAGAAUUCCAGGAUUUCUUGAUGCUCAUUUACACAUUAAAUUCACAUCAAAGUUGCGGGGCAUGUCUUAUCAGAAGGGAACACUGGAGACAGAACAAGCCUGUCCUACUAAGGGAUGUGGAUGGGGAGACUCUCCUCUGGUGAGUAAGCAUGGAGAUCUGUUCGAGCUCUGUUGUGGGAGCUCCUCAGGUUGUGGGACCUUCUCCUCAUCUGGCAGCCUUGGAUGUAUUUCCAAGUAGGGUCCCAGUAUUUCCAAGGAUGGCUCCCAGAUGACACUGCUUCAGCUUGGGGGAUAUUGGCCUGAGUCUCUUCACAGAAAAAGAAGCUUCUACUGACAAGCAGACCCAUUUGUGAGCAGGGAAGAGAAAGAGGGCAGAUAUCCAAAACCUUCCAUCUCCUGAAAACCUGAAAACAGCCCUUGGUCUCUCUGUACUUCUGACAUUAGCAGCAUCUCUUCUUUACACCCUCACCUAAACCAACUCAUAUGGCUUUAAUCCCAUACCAGGUCAGGUCAGGAAGUUCAGCCCUUUCCUUCCCCAACCCUGUGGGGACCUUUCCCUGCUCUGGCAAUGGACAACCUUCCUUAUCAUUUAUUACUUCCCUCCUGACUCUCUGUCUGGUGCACAUGAACGGCCGUGCCUGUUUCAGCUGGCCCUGCCCACUCUGUGAGCACUGUGGCCAGAGAUGGAAAUGAGGUUUUCCUGCACUUGGAAGAAACAGCACACAUGAGAGGCAGUUGAGUUUCCGGCGGGGACCAAUUGGGUGGUGUAGAGAGAAUCACACCAGGAAAAACACUGUUAAUUUAGCAUAGGAUGGUACACUUUGUGCUUAGUUCUUUUAAAUUUUUGUUAUAAAAAUAUUCAAUAGAUAACACCUGUAGGGUAAAGGAUAAUGAAGUCUUAUGUCCUCCACACCCAGACAAACUUAGUUGAAACCCCACUAAGGUUGAAUCUGAAUGGUCUAAAUUUCAACUACUAUUCUUUUGGGUAUAAGAGGAUGAAGGAUGUGGGGAGAGGUGCUGGGAGCACAAGAUUGCAGAGUAUGUCUGAUAAUGCCUUUUAGUUCUACUUCUGGAAACUUGAGAUUAAGCCAGCUUGGAUAUAAACCAACUGCAAGUAAGAAAGUGAAACCUGGCCUAGGCAUCAUGGGGGCUAAGUCCUAUCAUUGAUUCAUAUUGAUCACCUAUAGACCAAUGUUUUCAGAUAAUACUUAAUUGAGAGUGUGUUUGGCAAAAUAAUGUCCCCAAAGAUGUUGAUACCCUAGUUCUCCAAACUUAUGAAUAUGUUACCUUGCAUGUUAUGCUACCUUUGCAGAUUGUGGUUAAGGUUUUGGGCCUUGUAAUGGGGAGAGUAUCUCGGAUUAUCUAGGUGGGCCCAGUAUAAUCAUGAGUCCUUAAUAGUGGAAUAAGAAGAAAAAAGGGUGCUUGAGAGAGAUGGCAGCAUAAGAAGGAUUCAACAGUCUGUUGCUUGCUCUGAGAUGUAGGAAACUAUGUGCAAUGACCAGAGAAAAACCUCUCCGAGUUAAGGGCAUCCCCAGCAGACAGCCAGCAAAGAAACUGGAACCUCAGUCCUAUAACCACAGGAACUGGAUUCUGCCAACAACCUGAAUGAGCAAGGAAACAUUCUCCCCUGGAACCUCCAGAAAGGAUCACAGCCUGCCAACAACUUGUUUUUAUCUGCAGGACUUUUCUGAGGGGCCAUGUGCGGAUCUAAAAAGUAGGCUGGACCAUCAAAGAAACGUGCUCAAAGUGUAGGGGAAGGGUAGAAAAAGCACCUGAUUUGAGGACCGUCAUUCAGCCGAAUUAUCAAGCAAGAAGUUUCCCUUCAAUGCCUUCAUCUCCCAUCUUUGAACCUUCUGAACUCUUUCCUCCCAACCCCCAUGAAGGUUUCUCCAGGAUCCUGCUGCCCUGUCUUCUAUCUACGACUGUCCAGACGUCUGUUUCUGUUGGAGAAGAAACUCAGGAGGGCACUGGACAAGAUGACAUCUAAAGGAAAAAUGAGGGUCUUCAUUGCUGCGCACGGGCUUUCUCUAGUUGCGGGGUCCUGUGUCAUCUGCCGGCCUCCAUGAAACUGUGGCAAGCUAAAUUGUUGCUCACCAGUGCUCAUCAAAUCUUCCCC